rnacentral:tRNA from 1 species
GGGUGUACAGCUCAGUGGGUAGAGUGUAUGCUUAGCAUGCACAGGGUCCUGGGUUCAAUCCCCAGUACCGCCU